ensembl:lncRNA
GGUCAACUCUGGCGGCAGGAACAAAGUGGACUUGACAAGUGUGAAAGAUUUAGUGCGGGGCGUUUAGAGUGAUCAUCUUUUCCCCUUUGUCAGCAGGUGGAGAAAUGUCUCCGUCCUUCCUGUGUCCUCGACGCAGGUCUGAUGGCACAGGGGGAAAUCCUGUCUCAGCUCAUGUCCCCCCCCCCCCCCCCCCCCCCCGCUGGGAUGUGGAGGUACGCUCGGUUUCAUCGCCCUGUUCAUGACUGUUAUUGCUCAAAAGUGGAAGAUUAUGAUUACCUGGAAGCCUCAGUCCCGGCUCUGUUUCUGCCUGCAGAGUAACGGCGAGUAUUCCAGGUCCAAAGGGAUGAAUUUAAUCUGCAGAUGGUUAUCAAUCUAAAAGUGGUUUUGCCCUCUUGAAAGGGAUCUCCAUGCUUUUGUUGUCAAGUUGUAUUUCAACCAUUUCCUCCCGUGUUCAUUCGCUCUCACUCACAACUCCCCUCUGUAUUAUACGGCUUAAUUUUGCUGAAGAGCUGCAAAUGUCACAGUUCAGUGGAAUUUUGAGGCCUCUAAAAUCCCAGAGACUGUGCCUGAUAGAUUUCAGUAAACUAUGAAAUUAAAUAAGGAACCUCCUGUGUGAAUUGGAUUUAAAUAUUCCUAUUACUCCGGCAAAUGAAUAAGAAGAAAAGUAAGAUUAACUUUUAAAUGAUGGUGAGAAUCCUCCAGUGCUACGGCUUCAGAACGAGGUCAUUAGUGUAAGUGUGAUGCUUCAUAAUCCCUCCCAGCGGCGAGCGGGACACCGCACAUCCAUAUCGACUCCCCACAGAUAAAAGUAUUUAUUUCAGGAUCUUUCCUGGACAGUGAGGACAAACAACAGUAAGCCACGAAUCCACCUCCAUGUGAUGGAUCCAGGUGAAAACAAGCUUCACGCUCCCCGCGGCCUCAUUCAUCACCCGAUUAUCAUUCAUGUCUGUUGAGGGUUUCCAUGAUUGUAGCUUGGAUUAUUUCAGAAAGUCGAUGUAUUUCCAAUAUUUUCCUUCUUCCACCAAACGAUUGCGAAAACAUUACAUCAACAACAACAAGGACUACAUUUGCGCGGAGAAGGUUUUAACUUCACUUUGAGUCCUUAGCCUUUUGAAGUAUUGCAGAGCAUGAGCUUACAUUUCAUUUCGCCCAGGCUUUGCACCUGAGACACACACACACACACCUUUAAGAUGCAAUGAAAGGAAAUAAUAACUGAAGCUCUCUGAAUUAAUUAACUCGAGUAUAAACUUGACUUUGAUUGCAAAGCGAAAUUGGCUUUGACUUGACUUCUAGUUGUCAUUCAUCUUUUGGGGCAGCUGAAACCUUUCAGGCUUUAACCUGCUGUGUAUUUUGGCCUUUGCGAGAGAAAGAGAGGCAAACAUCUGGAUUCUUCCCAUGAUUGUCAGGAAGCACUUUCUUGUUUUGUUGCUUCCACCCCAGGUUCUUGCCAAACGUACAGCACAUCCUGCUUUUUGUUCCCCUCCAAGAACAUCUUCUAACACGGCGCUGCUCAGAACCGUCAUUCUACAGAGUCGAUCGCACCUCCUCUCAGCCAACGCGUGACCUUUGUAAAGGCCUCACGAAACAAAGAUCGGCUCCUGGCCGUUUCCUAGGGGGGGGGGGGGGGGGGCGAUCGCCACCUUAUGACAGGAGUUUAUUGUCGACCCAUUAUGCUUGAUGGAAUGAAUAGAAUGAGUCUUCUCAUUUUGCAGCAGAUGCCAGAGAGGACAAGGAGUCUUUUGACAACAGAUCAAUGGGUCUACUGCACGAAGCGAUUUGUUCUUCAGCUCCUUGUGAGAGCGCUUUGGGAAAAAUUGCUGCAUUCACCGAUUUUCUUGCAUGUUGCUCUGUCUCUCUCUCUCUCAGGGACAUGCACAGCUUGACCAUUCAUGUGCAACGUUCGACUUUUUAGAGAGCUGUUAACUAUCGGGUUGCACAUACCAUCACUCUGUAGUCAUUUUUAAUUUGAAAACCAUAGAAAUUGCUCUCCAUAGUUAUGUUGACAUUGUCCUUUUUGAUAUCCGAUAAUGUGAUGAAAAAUGUUUUCACGUUCAUUUAAAUUGGCUAUCGACGCCGCUUUGUAGCACCACAAUAUCAAUGUGAGCGUCUGCAAAACCUCCGUAAUGCUUUGUCCCCGUUCCGUCGCAGUAAUCAAUGGCCUUGUUGUGGCGACUUGUUUCAUAUGGAAGCAUUUCAGUCACAUUAUGGGUUGGCAUCAACAAAACUUGUUAUUUCCCCCUAUUUGAUUCUGCUGCUGAGGCCUUUUCCUUAUUUCCUUCGACGUAUAUGAUAUUAAUGGGACUUUAAUGACGCUGAUUGACAUAUCUGAAAAAAUACGCAAAACUGUAUACCACCAAACUCAAUUUCUGACUUUCAACCUGUCACUCACAUGUUUAGUGCCUUUUCUGUGUCACAUCUGCCGUAUACAAUUAAAAUCAAGGAUGUAACCAAAUGUGCUUUGUGGUCCUGUGAGUGUGGUUCCCUGGCAGAGAGCUCUCACUUCAGCUGCUGUGCUGCUAAGAAGGUUUACUAGUUGAUAUAUUUUCAUCUGAUAAAAUGACAAUUAGUGGAAAGCUGGCGGUAAGGAUCCUUAAUAUGUGCAGAAGAAUCCAGGCCUCUUUCCUCCAGAGCAUUUCCAAUUAAAUACGGUAUUUUCAGAUGGAACUAUUGAUAUCUGUAUGCCAACACUUUUUGAAGAUGUAGUGGGAAAUCACAUUUGCUCGGAUAGAUGAAGAUGAGAGAGCUUUUAUAAUGACCCCUUCCAGCCUUUGGGUUCAACGGCGAGAGUAUGAGACACUUCUCGCAGCUGUUCAGAAGAAGAAACAUCGGGCUACAAGCAAAAUAUGGCAAAGUAAAUGAAAGCACUUCAAAUGAGAAACUAAAUAUGAUGAACUGAAAUCCAUUGUUAUUCCUCAGGAAACGUUAGUUGAGAUGUAUUCACUCUAGAUUUGAUUUGACAAGUCUGAGUUUAAGACGCCAUAGAAUUAAGAGAACCAUUAAAUACUGUAUUUCCUCAAAAAGGUACUUCAAACUGCAUUUGAAAUAUUGUGGGGGUGGUCGUUAUACAUAUGGGAAAUGCCAUAAACCUGCCUUAAAGGGAAUUUUUAGGAGUCUUGGAUUUCUAAUAAAAAUCACUUUCAGAUCCCGAAAAUAAGGGUGCUCUUUGUGAGCCGGUGGGAGCUGUUCGGCGCCCCACUUUGAAUUCCUACAGAGGAGCAUUGUCUUUGAAAAGGCGCUUCAUGUUUCAAACAGACGGCCCAUGAAAUGAAAGAGUAAGCAUCGGAUAAAAAGAGUCAGUGUUGAUGAUGGUUAGAGAGGCGAGGCGGGAGGAAGCAGCCGGCUAUGUCUCAUUUGGGCCUCAUUCACACCAAAGAGACAAUGGGCCAUUAUAUUGUGACAGGUUUACGGCUCGGUGUCGUUUGUGAAUGAUGAACAAUACGGGGCCAUAACAAGUCAAGGCAAAUGACGACUGCGCCACUGCAACACGGCAACAACAUGCAGAUUCAGCAAGAAACAAAAACUCCGGCGGCUGGAUCGCGGCUUUGGCAAAUGGCUCCAUAAGUCUCCCUUGUCACUUACGUGUACGCUCCCUCGUGCGAUCCAUCACGGCGGUGAUUGGAACCAGCGUGGAGCUCGGGUCAGCCGGCCCCUUUAAGGGAGUGCGGGGAGAGGGAGACUUGGCGUGGUUGGCCCGCUUAAAGGUGAUGUAAACAGGCCCUGAUGGAUGAAGGACCUCCGUCCAUCCAUCAUGCUUCUGUCCUGAAGCGCCUUAAUCUUCUGCAAACACAAUCCUGCCACCGCGCCCCUCAUCUCUCCCGCCUUGUCCCUCAAGUCCUUAAUAUCCCUUCGUUUGGGGACCUUGUUGCCAGAGUAACCGACACACUCGCUGGACAAAAAGAAAUGACACCGUCGAGAGGUUUAAUGCGCCGAAGAGCGUGGGCGAGAGGCCUCCUGAGCUGAGACUUUUCUUAAUGUACCAGCCUCAUUAUUUAUGACUUUUUAUGGAUGAAAAAUGCAGGACCAAACAAUUGUUGACAUCUCAUUAUUUGAUAGCACCCUGCCUGUUGUGCUCUGCUAUGAGGCAGUCCUCUCAACCAUCCGGUUUGUCUGAGUACUUUGAGUACCAAAACAACUCAAACCAAACGGGUCAGGACAGAACUGAGGAAGUCAGUAGGUAAGUUCUAAACGUGCACGUGGUUGGCGGUGAGGCCCUCUUCAUUCCGACACGUUUCAGUUCUGGAACUCGCUUUGACCUUCAAUUGACUGGAGGUGUUUUGGCAGGCACCCAUGCUAACGGUGGCCUAGCCUGUCUCAGCUAAACGACGUAAGGCUUCACGGCCCGAUGGGAACUAUCGUACACCAUUGCAAUGUUGGACCACAGACGACUCCACAUCUUGGUGGGCAGAUGGAACGGUUGCCUUACAGUGAUGAGUGUGGGUAACACUACUUCUGGGGCCAUUUUCCGAUGGUAGCAGGAGGAAGCUGAGCAGAUCAGGAGGGGAGGAUCAUAGAUGAUCAUAGAUGAUGGGACCACAGGAAUCCUGAUAUGUCAUAACUGCUUCGCUGAUAAACGCUCGUCUAAAAGAGAGACAGACUGUGGUCAAAUGUUAAUUCUGAAAUAGUCAUUUUAACGUGGAAUUGAGUCCCAGUUUCCAUAAUUUACACACGUGUGGAAGACUUUCCCGGCCUCAACAGUGACCCCCACCCCUCCCCACCUCACCUAACACCUCUGGAAGGAAUUGGAGCCAGGUGUUAUCAUCCGAUAUCAGCGGCGGACCGUAAAAAUGUUCCCGAGGUUGAUUGGGAGCAAAUCCCUGCAGAGCGAUUCCACAAUCUUUCACCAGCUUUCUCCAAAAACUGGAAGCUCUUCCCGGGACAACUUAAUGGCAAAGCUUGAGGGGAAAUGAAUUCCGGAGCCACAUUAGUGGGUUCUGUUCUGCUGGCAGUCUGUACGGGUUUGGUUGCUCCACGAUACCGACGAGUCAUUACUGGACCCAACACAUGUUCAACCUCUCCUGCUUCACUUUUUUACUCCGACCACAGAGAACAGGGCGGUCCACCGUGUCCACAUGUUGCCGUUCAGAGAGGCUUCACGCCGAAUCGUUUGUCCAUCACUAACGUAGGACUGAACACACAAAAGCCAGUUUAUUACCCUCCCUUCUCCCUCUUCAUGUCCUCCCACUCGCACACAAACAGCAGAGGUGAGAUGUUUGAAGUAGCGGGUUGUCAGUCAGUGUUGCGCGUGAAACCGGGUUGCCAUGUUAUCCAGUUUGUAGUUUGUGGUUAUUUUACAAAAAGGAGUCACUCUCUGCCGUGUCCUUGCCGUGUCCCUGCCGUGUCCUUGCCGUGUCCCUGCCGUGUCCACCCCAGGCUGCACCCAUCGCUUGAGUGGGAAGUUUACCGCGGCAGUAACCUUGUAGUGAAAAGCACACCGAAAAAAUACAAAAAUGUUUUUGCUUUUGACAUCCGACGAUGGAGGAGAUGAAAUGUUUCUGAGGAUCUUUGGCGGAACCAGAAACUGCUGAUGAAGCAGAUGAGCAUUAGAUAAGACAUUUCUGUAUGUAUGUAACUAUUUUGAGUCAUCUUCCGCAGGCCUUUGAAUAAAUGUGUGAGUAACAUGAACGAUGGUUGGCUGAUACAAAACAAAGGAAGCGCUCCAUGUAGCAUUUAUAGCUUGGCUUUUUUUAUCCGGCUCAUUUCAGCCCCUCGUGUGAUUUCUGCACUGCUGUCUAAUUUCAUCCGUCGCCCUUUGUCUCCGCGUUUAAAAUCAACCCGUGAGAUUAUUUCUCCCUUCAGAGCAGCUCAGCCUCCAAGAAACAUUUUCAUAACUUAAACCCCCAUCUACUCCCAUCCAAGUCGUGAUUACGCUGGAUAUUGAGUAAAUAUGAUCACAUCUAACACGGCGGUGCAGCACUUCCGCCCUAAUGCCGCUGCCACUGUGUGUGCCAACAUGUUAUUGGCACAUCCGCAACAAAACACUGACUGGGGGGAAUAAAGUGCCCGAGGACUUACAGUGUGAGAGCUUUAUUUGGCAAAAGACAGAAAGAUGUGUUCAAUAGAGUGCUUUCCUGAAAUAAAUACUGCCUGUGAAGAGUCCUCCACAUGUUGGUGCUGAGAUUCAGGAGAUGUGCUUAGAAACAGUGAUUCACAAAGACGGAUUUCGUCAACCGUCGAGUGUGGAGCUUUUUGUUGUUUUUUCCGCUGCUCUGCUUGACAUCAGCGUGUGAGAGAUGAAAAGAGCCCCACCAACAAUCUGUCAUUCGCUAGUAGGAAUAUUAUCUGUGGAAAUGCAGGAGAAAAUGAAAUAUGAUAAGCACGAGGAAACAAUCAAUACGGCGGGAGUUUUCUCCUCGACUUGUCUGGGAGGCGCUGUAACGGCGUUCGGGGUUAUCGAUGGACCCGGUUCCCUAAAGUCUAACCGGAGGAGUUUACUGCAUGAUACUUUUAUGGGGGGGACUAAACAAAGCCUCAGUCAAAACUCGCUACGCUGCCGGCUGUGUGAGGUUUAAAUGUGGAACGCGAAAAGAAGAACAUUCCCGUUUCUGAUGUUUCUUCUCCGACGCCACCUGGUCCCCUCCUUCAUCCUUUAACCCGUCUCACCCCCCCCACCGCCACCGCCAUUAAUCACCCAUUAAUCCUCAUUGAGUCCCACGUGAUUUACUGAUGCUUGGCCUAAAACACACACCGGGCUCUUUCAUAUGUUGUUGUUUUUUUUUGUUCUCUCGCCAGCACAAUUUAUACGUGGUAAUUAUCGAGGCGUUCCCUCGUGGGUUUGGUGUCCUUUGAGGGAAGAAAGGACUCCCGGGCCUUAGAUGGAUGUGUUGUUUUAUCUUGGCUUGCGGAGUGUAAAAUCACAGAAAACGCUUCCCCCGGGCUGCGAGUCAGCAACAGGUCUGUGGAACCCGCGCGAGGCAAAUGCUAAUAAUAAACACAGCACACGUCUUACUUUUCUUUUUCUCACAGCCUCUGUAGUCUCUUCAGAGGGUGACGUGAAUCCCAUCACCGGCGAGACCUUUUCCCACGUCUCGGACGAUGUUUGGACAAUCACCAGCGACACUCCGCUGCUAUCAAGUCUCCGAAGACGUCCGCACUGAUUCCUCAUGUCAGUGGAAUGAAGAGAGGAGGAUUUAACUGGCUCUGCCGGUGUGGCGGACAUCUCCACCGCCGAGGUCAUCAUAAUUCACUCACAAAGUCGUCCAAACAAGAGGCGCCCCGAGUAGCGCUCACCUGCCCCGUGGAGCCUCUCGCCUCUCGCACUUUGCCCGGCAGCGUUGGCGCUUCACUCCCGGCGAUCCAGAUGGCGGCCACGUGACCCGGGAAGGUCAGCCGCCCGCCAGUCUGGACGGCAGGAGGAUUAGCGCGCGGGCUAAUCUGUGCAAAUGUGUCCCUCGUCUUUUGCAGCAGAGCCGAGGAGGCAGAGCGAGACGAGUCUCACCAGAGAGCCCCGGCGCGAGACGAGCGGCGCUGUGGCCUCAGUCCUCGCGAGCAGGUGGGGGCGCUAGUCAUCACCAGCGCCUCCCUCCCAUUCUGUCCAUAGUGUCCAUAGCUCGCACUCUCUCACAAUCUGCACUCGUGGACAAAUCGAUGCAAACGGGGGGGACGUGUAAUCAGUUAAUGCGAAUCAACGCAUGCUGAGUUGCAAAGUGAGAUUCAGCAUCGGUAAUUUUCCCACCGAUGUAAUUCCUUCUUUGUCAUUGUUGCUUUGACAAUAUGACCUUCAUAGCCGGGGGGGAGAAACAGAAGAAGCGAGGCCUUAAGUGCUUCAGGGUGUGAAGUAAAAUGAAGUGCGAUAACAAGGUAGUGGGACGGAUUUAAGUGAAUGCAGUAAUGGACCUUUCAGAACACUGUAGGCCGGAUUGUUUCACCAACAUGUUUCCCUGACAAGCGCCUUUCCUGCAGUUGUGCAAAUAAUGACUGUAAUCUGUCAGCGGCAGAGGCAGCAGAAGCUCGACAGCUUCAUGCUGCUGCGACGCGUCUGGAGGAGAAAGUCCUGCUGGAUUUUUAGCCGUGCGAAGCGUGCAACACAAGGGUCCAUGGCAACGCUGCAGCUCAGAAAACCCCAGUUGUUUUCAAAUCGGCAAAAUGGGUCAUUCUGAAAGACACCGAAGAAAUGGACUUAUUUUGACGUUUAGUUUUGAUGUUACAGAAUCUAAAAUAGACCAGAAAUAAGAGGCUGCUUUUGAUGAGGUGGACUUAUAAAUGAGACGCUGAAUGGUAAUUAUAGUUAACUUUUAAGCUGUGUGGUUCCAUCCCCCCCAACACAUAUUCAUGGGCAGUGACUUUAAUUUAGAGAUUCAAUCCAGCAAAAUUCAAACCGACUUUUGAACUUUUAUGCAUCUGGUCCAAAAGUCCAAACCCGACUCUGAGAGUUGUAGUUGAUGUCCUUUUUUAUUUCCCUCACCUUCCUCUCGCAGUGGAUAUUCCAGAGUUAUUUCACUCUUGCCUCAGGGAUAACAGAGGAGCUCGCGGUUCUGCUGUAGCCAAGAGUUAAUAAAUAACAAGCAAGCAUAAUGGGAAUUUGUAAGGAAAGUGAAAUAGCAAUAAUAACACGGUGCUGCACUUGAACAUUUUCCAAUACAGAGCGUUUUUCAAACGAUAUUGUGACUUCUAGCUUUCCAACAUUUAUGUCACAGAAGUGACAAUGUACAAGUAGCAAAAUGAUUUGAUUCCAAAUCGAGCUAAAGCAAAGUUCACCUUGUUUUUGUUUUUUUACAUAAGUGGUAUUAGUACAGAUGAUAAGUACAGAAAAUAAUUGGCUGGGGACUUGGUUUCCACACUCCACACUGGUUCUGCCGGGCGACCCCACAUGACCUCCACUCAGCGACCCCCAGUGCUCAACUUGAGAAUAGUUACGUGGAUAAAACAGUCUCCUUGUUGUGUAACAAUCACACAACAGCUCUACCCGCAGCGGACCGAUUUAACCAGGAAGAACGUAUCUGCCUCCCGAGUUCCACCUUUUGGAGGAAGUGGGUGGAACUAAAAAUCCAAUCUGCUCGCCCUAAGCCUCCUUGAAAUCACUCCCACCUUCAGCCGCCGGUUCUCCGUGUCGCUCGAGGACACUCCAACACCAAAUGACACGUUGGCCGUCACAGAGAUGCAACCCGCGGCCCUCCAGUUCGACAGCCCUCCUCCCUCGGUGCCGGGGGGGGGGGGGGUUGUGCAUUUGCACCGGCACAAAUUAUAAAAACAGGAAAAACAGAAGUCCUUGUGGGACUCCAGGCCGGGAGGUAGAGCGGGGAAGGCGAGUCCUGGAGAGGCCUAUGAAGAACGACUCACCGGGGGCUCGUUUCACUCCGUCGGCAACAACAAGCCGCCGGGCGGCUCGCUGCGAGUCACUCAGUGUCUUAUUAGAGCGUACGCCGGGCCGAGGAGGAACACCUUAUCAACCAGAUGUGAGCGGCUGUGAUAGAUGUGCUGUAUCCAGCUGCAUUGAGCCGAUAAGCACCCAAAUGAAAUUCUCUCUACAUGCGUGCUCUAAUUAAAAAGAGUCGCUCAGGUCUCAGAAAGUCCCCAUUUGAUGUAGUUAAUCUUUGUUUAAAAUGAUGCAAGUAGCGCACCGCCGCCGCGCCGUGGGUUCUCCACAUCUCGGGUUGAUAAUUAUAUAUGAAUCGCAAUGCUCUCUUUUCUCCUGACCACCUGCUGCUCGCGCCGCCGUCUCUGUACACGGAAGGUGACGCGAUCAGUAUUCAGCCGGCUUCUCCCCCUCCUGUCGUUUCUCACAAAGCAGCCCUAGGGGCAUUAGCGGUGAACCCCUACCCACAUGGGGCCUGUUGGUCGCCCUGACACCUGUCUCCCUCACGUUGACCCCCGGUCACGCCAUGGAUCACGCUACAAUGCCUCGGAGCCUGAGUCCGCCGCCACGGCCAGACAUUGACGGGCAGCCUCGGCCGGCCAACAUGCAGAUGGGCUUUUGGAAAACAUUUAAAUUAAAAGUAUCGCCGGCAGGAUCAUUUUUAUUUGAACAAGUCUGGCUCGGCAUUGAUUCAGCUGAGGGGGACACCUAAUGGAAUUAGAAACUUUUCCACAAUUGACUUGGGUUAUAAUUGUGAGUGAGUGGAUAGAAGGGAAAACAACAAGACAUACAUUUACCUUUUUUAGUGGAAGCAUUUAGUCAUUUUUCGUAACGUUCCAAAGUGAAUGGGUUCGGGGACAUUCCAGGAACCUUGUCUUUAACAUGAUAAGUCACUGAACCGGUACGAAUGGCCAAACCCAACAUAAAUAUACACAUAGCACUUGAUCAUGUCUACCUGUGGUCCACGAUAUCGGCCCAUUAGAGUGUUUUUGUUGAAAGUGGGGUUAGUGUUUCUGGCAUCGUGUCUGGUGCAGAGAACACAAUAUGGUUUAUGGAUCGAGUUCACUCAAUACUGCUGCAUUUUCCUCUUGUUACUCAUUACUCAUUCAUGCUGGCUCCUGUCAGGUUACGACUGCAUUAGAAUCUGUUUAAAUGUUGUUUGAAUUAUUUCACUGAAACAUAGUGCUUUAUAUGCGAAUUUUCUGCAAAUGUGCUUUGUCGCUGUUUUGCAAAGUGCAUAAUUUUUGUUGGACCUUAAUCUGCAAAACUGUGCUAAAUUCUCAUAUAUAAUUGAAUGGUUUUUGUAAUUAUUGAAAUAUCAGCAUUUUGUGUGUUUGCAAACACUUCCUGGUCAAUAGCGGGUGUGCAAAAAAUACUGAUGCAACCAAAUACUGAUGCAACCAAACCCUGAAGCGUGAAGCAGACAUUAUGCCAAUAUACAGUUGACUGCCUAUAUUUGGAUUUUCUGACAAUAUGUUUAAAUGCUGAACACAAUGAAAAAGCACCUGACAUUGCUCUUCCUGUCUGUCCCACCGUACCUGUCUGAAAGGAUCUGUAGCGCCGUGCCACAGGAGACAACAAUGUAUGGUCCACCUUUGCAAAGUUCUCUCGGCGUGGGUGGAGAUGCUCGCAGGCGGUGGACGGUUCCCUCUAAUGAGCCUGCUUGUGACAUGGGAAGAGGAGCCAAUGGCUUGUUGAUUCACAUAACCCCCCCCCCCAAAAAAGUGAGUUCUGUUACUGCAGAGUCGCUUGGUUGGUAGGAACUCAUGAUAUAUCCCCUUUAAUAAGUUAAUAAGUUAAGGCUAAUCUCCCUUACUGUCGUUGACCUGAUUUUACCGGCGCCAAUAUGCAGCGCUGACUCAGCAAAGUUCUACCAGCCGCAACUUUUCUGCUGCUGAAGCAAACUGUUCCAACACUCGUUCCAACAUAGCGAGCCGUGAAAGUGACUCUGUGCUUUACCUCUGAACUGCACGCAGUCAUUUACUUUUCCACAGGACCAAAACACAGCGUAAAGCUGAGUGCCUUUUCAUUCUGACCACCGGUGCACCAAUUUAAGGAUGCGUUCCUUUCUGUUGGAAGGAACAACCACGCUCUCACGUGAAGAGCGAUUCACUUGGCAGGCAACGAUGCCUCGUCCCAAAAAAGAAAAAAUGUGCUCUUAUGAGAGCCAGAAGGGGAAUUACUUAUUUCCUUUAUUAAUUAAUACCGAACAAUGUACACGAUCUCGCAGGCUAAGUGCCUUACCUUAUUAGCUAAAGGAUUUUAUGGAUUUGAAAUGCAUGUUAAUUGAACAGCCUCAAAUUACAGACAGUCAAGGUCAAUUUGCUCCUAUUUUACACCCCUCGAUGAAGCGCUCCCAGAUCUGAUCCGGGGCCUUUGUGGUUCCAGAUGUGUGGAUCAGAACAUCCGUUCUCCAUUCAUCCAGAGCGAUUAUCUGCAUCUCCUGAGCAGCCCCUCAAACCCGCCACGGGUACGAAGUAAAGUGAGCUUAAUGUCGUUACGUUCAACCUAAUGCAUUCUAAAUAAGAGCGUCUGUUUAGAUUUAUAUUAUAUUUAUCAUUCCGUGCCGUACGCUUCUAUUCUUCUACUCUACUGGUUCCUUUCCUCAAGCCGCAUCGCAUUACUUUGCUGCUGAAACAACCCGGAUUGAUCAGCUCGGUGCUGUGUGACCAUAACUAGCUCCCUUCGAGAAACAAAAUGAAUGUGAAUUUCGACCACAGCAAAUUCCUGACUAGGCGAGGGAUCGUUUUAGCGCUAUUUAUUAGAUAUAUUGACAUUGAUGUGGAGCUUUAGCCUGUGUGCAGUUCCAGUGAUUAACAGGAAAUUAAGUUGUGUUUUUGACUUGGCGUUCCGCCGUCUCUCUCUAUCUGCCGCAAUGUCACCGGCUUCCAGAUAAUGAUGUCCUCUGCAUUUCAGCGAGGGAACAUUUCCCCAGCCAUUCAUCAAUGUCCCCUUCCCCGUGUACAGUCUGCCGCGUACAACUCGCCUCUGCAGCCGCCGUGCGGGCUCGCGAGGACUGAGGCCACAGCGCCGCUCGUCUCGCGCCGGGGCUCUCUGGUGAGAAACGACACUCAAUUUGUUUCCCAUCAUGCUACCUGGGCAGUCACGUAUGAUUAACUUACCCCUGCCAAGUGACCCGUGACGUGUUUUUUCACCCGUUUUACCGGGGCCAUCACAGCGCAGACAGCCGCUGACUCACGGAGCGCAGGGUAAUGGAUUUAACCUCACACUGUGUUGUUUUUUCCAGCGCCGCACUUGCAUCUGCCGGCGAUGUUCUCUUCUGUCGGCCUUUCAACAUGCAACAUUAUUUGGAAAAACUCCUCGGAAACCGCUGGCGAUGCCUUUAAGUGUGAGGAUUCGCUCUAUUUGCGCUCCGGCCCACUGGAGGAAACCUUUCUGACACCAGUGCUUUUUUUGAACACAGCGAUGCACUUUGAUGCUUUCAAGUGCAGGAGCUGUAAAGUACAGCGUCGUGCAGAAACUAGUCCAGUGACUUCUUUACACCAGCUCCAGGUGUGAUAAGAAGGAAAAAAAUGAAAUUCAAACCCAUGCAUGUUGCAAACGAAGACGAGGAAACGUGACCGUGGCUGCUUUUGAUCAUUAACAACGUGCAAGGAAGGUGGUAAAGAUGGGCAAUGCAAAUGAAUGGUAUUGAAGCCCAGAGUGAGGGGGGGGGGGGGUGCAAGAGAGCCUUUCACAAAUGUGUGAAAUGUGUUCUCGUUGGCCUUUAGGGAGGAAAAGGGGGACAAGAGACGACAGUUCGGGGAGGCACGGCGGGGACGAGGAGAUCUGUCCUCCGCAGAGACCUUGUCUGUGAGAAGAAGAUACGGGACAUGCUUACAGAUCCAUGGACAAAACCCACACGCACGCACAAACGCACACGCGAACCCAAAACGUCCCAAAAUACAACUCGCUCACUUGAAAGGAGACCCAAAGACUUCACAAAGCUGAAGGAGGGAGAAAAAGCUCUUGAUGGACUGAACGGCAUGAAGUUUUAAAUGUGCUUGGGGAGGAGAGAAAAUAGCUGUCUGUGUCACAUGCUAAAUUCAACACCUUUUCAUAUGUCUGACGCCGGAUUAAACGUGACGUGCCGAUCCAUCAAAGACACAAGAAAAGUUCCUCUCCUUGAAAUUGUGGGUGUUGUGGGAACUUUUGAUGCCCGGUUUUGACAUCACUGCCAUUAUCUCAGUUCCAAAUGACCCCGGCGAGGCCUCCGCUUCACCGACACGCGGCUCCGGAGGCAAGUGAGUGUCGUGCUUCUGAGAUGUUUGUGUGCCAAACACUGGCGGUAAGACGGCUCUUUGCUCAUUCAUGGUUUUGGUGGCACCACUUCUGAACUGGUUGAUGUUUGGUCUCUGGUGCUGCUGCUGAAACAAGUAAUACGACUCAGCCAAGCCCAGGCUGGGAAAAAAAAAUCUAAUUAGCCAUGAAGAAAAGUUAGCAAAGCUCAAAGGGUUAAGACUGGAGUUCGGCUGAACGAUUAGAAAGAGGAAAAACAAACAGCAGGUAGCAGCAGAGUAAAUUCUCAACGAGAAACUGUCCCUCCUUGGGACGGGAGAAUAUAAUGUGGGAGACAUGAGAGACGGAGCAGAACCUAAUUUAAAUGGCGCUUUAUUUUAGAGGUACAAUGGAAAAAAGACCACAGAGGAUUCACUCAUCAAACAACCAGAGAAACGUCUCCAUGGGUAGAGGGAGAAAAAAGGAAUAAUAAUUGUGUACACGCUGAAGGUCUGAGAUUUGUUAUUAUAGGACGGGAGAACAGAGGGAGAAAUAAUAAGCGAGGGGAUUUCUAACGUUAUUUAAAGAAGUUCUAAUCAUUAGUCCGCUGUGCUGCGCGGUCAGAGGAGCCACCGAAGCCUCCUCCUGUGAAAAGAACAUGAUCAAAGAGAACCAAGGUUAAAUAAGUUUACUGCGCACUGAGACCAAAAAGCGGACACGCGUUUCUUCUCCGCUCAAUUCCAGACAAAAAAAAAAAAUCCCUUGUUUGAAAAAAAAGAAAAAGGUCUUGCAGAAAUAUCAGUGAGGAAACGAAACGGAUCGUGAGGUUAAGAUGAAGAUGACGGUGGCUUCAUUUCACACGGGCAUGAUCUCCAUAUGAAAAUAAUCCAAACCUGUGCAAGGUGAGACUCAGCGGUCGGUCAGCUGGACCCUCCAGAUGUCCUCGUGUUUGCCAAGACGGAGCUCGGCCCCCUUUUUCUUUCCCCCCCUUGUGAUCUUCUGCUGUUAAUGAACACCAAUUUCAACAUCUCCUUGAAUGCUUAUUGCAGCGAAGGUCCCGUGAACCGCAGCGUGGUGCUGCUCUUUCUUUUGGCAGCCUGGUUGUUAUUGCAGUUCACUUGUGCAAACAGCCGCUACAGAAUAAUGUGCUCUGUCUCCACACUUACAUUUCUGUUAUUCCUGUUGGGAAUACGCUAAACGCUGGCAGGUUUUCAUCGCCGGUCGAAAUAAUCGUAUAACCCAUGGGUGAUAAAACUUUAUCUACUGGCUCCUGGCUGUUAAUAUAAAACAAUACUAGACACAAAAUUUGUAUGAGCACUUUAAAUAUGAUAUUGAUUGUGCAAUAUAUCUAAGUGCUUCCUCUUCAUUGGUUCUCAUGCGGUAGGUUUUGAAAAAUGCCACAGACCUGCGAUCCCACAGAUUAGAAUGGAUCGCCUUCAAUAUCACCUCCAAUAACUGGUCUUUGUUCCAAAUGGCUGUUCCCCUUCAUUGCAGGAAAAGUCGACUUCCAUUUGACAAGACAUUUGGCACGGCUUAUGUGGCACAAACUGUGCAUAAAGUUUUUACAUUGAACUUUGGGGGGGUUCUGUUGUCUCAGAAAUGGAAAUUUCUGGAUCAUUACAUGCGUUUCUCCCUCCUGUGUAUCAACAGGCGGAAUGUUACAUUUCCCCCUCUGCCAUUAGUCAAGUGGUCUAAUUUAGCGCUGGGGCACUAUUGGGUUUUGUGUGAUAAAUGACCCGUGUGAGAGCGACCCGCGAUGGGUAAUGGGGGGGAGGGAGUUCAGUUACAGGCAUUUAGAAAACAAACAUCCUUUCUUUUGGGGGCAAAGGGGGGUGAAACUGCGGAUGAGACAUAACACCCCGCCUAUACAGUGAAGUCCUCGCGAUAACAUCUGUAGAUCUCAAUUUAACCUUCUAGAAAAGAAGCAAACAUGAAUAUCAUUUGUGUGGUGAAGGACCACGCCGAUGUGUGUUCCCCCGCUCAGUAAUUCUCACCUGAUUUCAUUUUAACACCAAUUCGAUAUAAUAACAGCCACCAGGCCAAACUGUGGUAUGUGUUUGGCUCCCAGUCGCGUUCCUUUGCCAACACUGGGAGGUGACCGAGAUGAACGUGUCCUCACCUGCUAGCUGCGUUCCUACUGUGCCGAGCUCUCAGUCUGCCUCCCCCAUGCCUUUCUUUGCCCAACGGGUUAAUCUCUCAAGGAGAGUACUUUUUCUUUUUGCCAAGUCUCUCUCUGAACCUCAUCUCUGUGGUGGCGAAGGUGAGUCACCACAGCAGGGGUUGGCUGCUACGCCGGGGUAAAUUAACUCCAGGGAGUCUUUGGCUGGCCUCGGAAAAACACAAGCCAUAUUUGUGUCACGAUCUCCAACGGCCCCCUGAAAGAAAACUCAGAUGAAACAACAGCACGGUAUUUAUGGAGCUGUUCCACUACAACAACGUGGUGGUUUCCAUAUAAAUAAUGAAGUAGCGAUGCCGCGUUUGACAGUCGUGCCCUUCGGGUACCCUUGGUGCUAAGCUAAUAUCUGGACCUGGAAUGGGCCCUGUUGCGCCACAUUUCCAAAACGAAAUAUGAUUUUUCUUGGCGGGCUGGUAUUCUUUCAAGCACAGAAUUAAUACGUGUCAAAACAGCUGUUGCAAAACAUCAAUAAACUGUCAAGCAACAGAGAAUGAAAAGAAUUGGCACCGACCAAUAGAAGCAACAGAAAUGUCAUCUGUCUGGGAAGAUUUGGAGAGCUCCCAUGAAGUGGCUCGCAAUUAUGUUGCACAUGUCACACAGACAAGUAGAUAAACAACACUCUUUCAAUUUGUAAUGAAUCAACCACAGACAUUGAUUGGAACGAGUGUUUCAUAAAUGUAAUUGCCUCUUUGAUUGUGAUCAUUGAUCUAAAUCUGAACGAUUGUGUAUGAAAUGUAAAAAAAAAAAGAAAAAAAUUGCUAUUGUCAUUGUGUCAAAAUGGACUUUAUUGAGCUUGAUUUCCAUAUCAGUGUAAAAUAGCACAGCGCUGAUUGAUUUUGAAAGUUUAAGACACUGAGCAGAAAGGAAGUCAUACCUUCGGGGAGGUUUGUAAAAAUGUUAAAAUUUAAAUUGCCCACUGUCUAAUUUCUUUUUCAGUUAAUUUUCACAAUGGAAUGGAAAUAAAACUGUAAUUUCAUGGCGUUCAGUGCGACUUAAAAAGUCAUUAGAAAAAGAGGGAGUGUGGAGGGAGUCGCCAACCUCCGUGACAUGGCCUACAUUCUCUACACCCGAGCUCGGUCUGGAGGCAGUCAGCCGACAAAUAUAUCACCCACCGGUCCGCCAAGACAUUAGCUCAAUGAUAUUUGUAAUGCGACACUUUUGGGAGAGGAAUUUCUCAUUUGGUGACAGAGCAAGGAAGGAUAGAUAUGGUAAACAGUGGCUCCUGAGGAUAAUUCGACCUCGGAGAAGCCAGGCCAUUUAUUUCCCUUAGCUUAAUAAUACAAAUACGAUUGUAUUUUAUGAGCAAGUUCAGCUGCAUCGGGGCAUCUGUGUGGAUUCCAUCAUGAGGUAAUAUUAGGAUGCACAUGGGGUAGGAAAUCCGCAGACAAACAACUUCAAAUGUUUGCUUUGAUUCGAGUGUCAGAACAUCCAACCAGAGUAUCGUACCAAGACAAAUACAAGCUGUUAUGCACUGAGCUGCUUUUGGCAAACAAUAAGAACAAAAUGGUGACCAUUGUAACUUUAAUUACGGGUGGUAUUUUACUUUAGAAUUAGAUCAAAUCCACUUACAAGCAUGUAUUUCAUCGUUAAAAACAAAAUGUUUUGAGGCCACACGGUGAAGUAAAAAGUCAUUGCAUCAACAUUUCAAUCCAUUUUAAUGUGGUGCUCUUAAAACAAUUUACCUCUUAGCUCAUUUAGCCUGUUUUACUGUGUAAUAUCUAGUAGAAUAAUAUCUAUUGGUAGAAAUGUAGUAUUAUAUUCAUUAUUUAUGUACUUUCCUUAGCCUAGAUUGAGCUGUUUGGUAUUUGAUUUCUGAACUGUACAUUUAGUCCAUAAUGUGGUCAGUCAGGUCAGAAUCUAAAUAUCAUUAAGACAUAUUCUAUACUAUUAGAAACUUUAUCAAGGUUCUUCUUUGAACGGCAGUACAGCCCCGGGGGUUGGAGGACCCCCCCCCCCACAAGGAUUCUCUUUUGCCCUAUUAGAAGCGAAAUUACACAUUUUAGACUGACUCAGCAUAUUCAGAAAGCCCAAUUAUUCCAGAUGCCCCUGAUUACCUCUGGAGUCCUGUCACUGCCGUAUAUAUCAAACAACACUUCCACACAGCCCGUCUUUGACAACAAGCACUUUGACUGCUUUAUUUCCCACAUGACAAAGACUUGGGUUUGAGCGCAAAAAUCAUCUUCAAAUAAUGCGGAGGCGCCUUUCAUAUGUUCUCUGCCCAGAGACUCUCAUUAAACAACCGCAGUGUGAAUUUGAUUCUUUGUAUAUGUGUUUGUGUAAUCCUAACGAGUUAUGCAAAUAAAAUAAAGUUUAAAUUAAUUUUAAUGAGUGAGUAACAAAAGGGCCAGAGCUAAUUAACUAAAUUCCGUCUCUUUGAAAAAUGGGUUAUUCUGACCCCCCGUUGAACACAAAACAAAGCCGAGAACAUUAGAAUAUUCCUAAUAAAACAUAUUUAUGUAACACCGUCGGGUUUAUGUGGCCGCGUGUCCCGUGGGAUCAGCAGCCGCAUUUGAAGGUGGGAAUAUAAAGUUUAAGCUUCAAAGCACAAUAAGGUACAUUGUAUUAAUUCAUUCUGCUGCCUGCAGGGACCAGAGGAAGCGUAGAGGCAUUAUGUGCUCAUAUUGGCUCCAUCUCUGCAUCACAUUCUGCCAUUUACACUUUGAAUUGUAGGUGCUGCUGUGAAAAGACAAAAAUAGAUGAACGUAGGGGAACGCCUUCCGUUAAGUCGAGAUCAUUUUCCUGUUUGUCGUCAAGCAAAAAAUAAUAACAAGGGCUGCUGCUUAAGAAGACGUAUGGAACCACCAGGGUGCUGAACCACCAUCAGGUACGCGACCGGCCCAGGAUUCCUAAUAGCGAAUGCAAGGACACGGCCAAGAGGAAACCAUUAACACCGUGAAGAAGAAUCUCACGAUAGAGGUUAGACCAGUGUCAUGUUGUUAAUAGCUCCAAUUACCCGUCAACCAGCAAAUGAGCCAUCAACAUUUACUGCUAGCUCUCAAUCACGCUAAUCGGCCCUGAUGGCUGAAGCUCCCUGCCACGUUCUCCAGCGCUCUAAUGCCAGGUGCUGUUUCUUUAAUCCCCGUGUCUGCCGGCGGCACAUCAAACGCCGCCGCGCCAGCCUCAACAAUCGCCCAAAGUUGCAUCACAGCUCAACUUCCUCGCUUGAGUUUCAGCGAGAAUCACUUCAAAACACAAAAUGAGGAAAAUAAAGAUGUCUUAAAAAAAAAAAGAUAGCUGUGGUGCAGAUACACGGAGCAGGCUGUGACUAAUUCGUUGCCAGAGGCCAGAUUUUAGCUGCUUCCCCUUGAUUUGCAGCCAAUUCCACCACCAACGCCAAAAAGGCUGCACCAACCGCUUCGUGUCUAUGAAAGCAAGCUUUGCAGACAGGGAUGAAAACGGGCCUACGUAGCACAAGGGCCAGCGAGGAGUGGGGAGGUCACGCUCUGUCCGAGUCACAAAACGAUCUCAGGUGUGUUUGCAUGCUUCCAUUUGAGAACGCACUCGGCAGGGUGCAACCAACUGCAAGAGUUUAACCCCACGGAGGUUAAUAGGGAGAAAAAAAGCUAGCAGACGUGCUGUGAGCUAGCAGACAUGCUAAAUGUCUCUUGACUAGCGUUAAUUGUCAGUUUGCAAGCUUGUUAGCAUAAUUGCUAAUGGCACAAUGGGUUCACCGAGUUAAUUCAAGGACACGUUUAUAUUAUCAACUCAGUUCUCAUAACUGUCUGCCAAUGAAUCCUGUUUUAUGGGGCAGUUUAUUCUUUAUUGUAAACCACAAGUAGCCUCUAGAGCAACACCUGGAGCGUCCUCCAUCGGACUCGAGCUCUCAAAGGUCGGCAGCGUGAAGACAGAUUAGUCCAUGUUGAAUAUCUGUGAAACCUUUCAAUUCAACAGAUUUCACCAAAACGUUUCUAAUACUGUAAUGAACUAAAAUGUAUUGCUGUCCACAAAGGCCACUCAGCCUCUAAUGGAAUAAGCCGACUUUGAUAGAUCGGAAUUAUUGAUGCACUUGCAGAUGAAGCCGGAGAUUCUGAAUUUGGCUAAUGAGCUCUGAAGAUGGACAAACCCGGUGACAGUUGUUGUUAUUGGCUUGUUUUAAUUCCAACUAGUUACCAUAGACUUCACCUUUUAAAUAAACACAAUGCAAGCAGCCGCGAGUACCACCAAAUACUAACAAGUAACCAAUACAUCAAGUCAAAUACCAAUCAGACUAUUUAAGUAUAAUGAAAUGUGAAAAAAACAAAGUCUGGGAUGUUUUGGUCCAUUUCAUUCGAUAUCAUCUGUACCUCAUCAAUAUGUAAAGUUAGAAUUCUUUGAUACCCGCUGUGUUGUUUAUUCUAUUUUGGUUUCCAACCAACAGAUGAGGAAUUAAAAAAAGAUCACUGUUUUUGAUGUAUGAGUUUGUACGUGCAGGAAAUUGAAAGUCAAUUAAAACCUUAACGUGAAGGAGCUCAUGCAACAGGGAUGUGUUCCGUUAACUGUCAAUAAAGACAUCCUACAUUCAAAAAAAGAACGCUGUAAACGUAAACCACAUCAACAUGCAAUGCCUCAUGUGACAUUACAGGCGAGAGAUGAUUGGAUUUUUGACAUCUAGUAUUUGGAAAGCUUUGUUUACCCGUUCAACACACAGAGGGGCUCGAUGUUCUCAAUACUUCCCACGCCAUCUGUCUCUCCUCUGAUUCUUUGGGCGAAGACAACCAGAGAUGCUCCUCGUAGUCUCAUCGUGGAGCAGUUCAAGUCCCCGUUGCCAGAGAUUCACAUUUGCAUUUUAUAUCAAAGUGCGAGAUCACUCGCUUGUUUACGAGCCAGUGUUUUACAUCAAAACAACAGCACGGCCUUCUGGGAAAAUUUGAUCGAAUGUACACCUUGAAGUUCGUGAGGAUAAUGAUUAGAGAGCCGGUAUAUCCUCACGCUCUACUGAGAGCAUCGUCUGGAGCAGCUUCUGCGCUUGUUUCUCACUGAAUGUAAUGAAUUUCUUUUCCAUAAUUGGCUUACUACUCGCAAUUAUUUCAAUCAUUCCGUCAUUGAAGGCAUUGUUCAUCUGUUACAUUGUUCAUUCUGUACUUGGAAGGGUUUCAUUUUUCCUGUGCAGAGGGUUUCAGGACAGAGGAUGUCGCAUGUGUACAGACUGUAAAACCCUCUGAGGGAAAUUUGUAAUAUGCGAAAGAAUAAAAUAAUUGAAUAAUUCUCCAGAUUCAAAGAACAUAAAUUUAGCUUAUCAUUAAAUUGCCAUAGCGAGUACGUACGUAUACGACAUUAGAAGAUGAAUUAAGAUAAAAGUUACACUAUACAUAACAUUAACAUAUUUACCUUUAGAAAGAUCCUUUUACAUCCUUUUAUAAGAGGUUGACAUCAUGGAAAAGUAUUUUCACUCCAUGUAAAGGUGUUAAAUGUAUAAUUGAUAGAAUACCAGCUUAUUGCUUUGUUGUCAUUUGUGUUUUAUUUAAAAAAUUAAAAUAAAAACACACUUGUAUAUCUUAAGCUUGAAGCCAAACGACAUAAUUAGGGAAAUUUGGGGGAAAAAUCUCCAUCUCUUCUGUCGAUGUGUUCCUUUGCCUCCUUCACUUGCAGUGAUGUUUUCUGUGAAACGCAAUUUCAUUUCUAAUGAAAACAUAACUGGAGUAUUAUAUAAUAACAUUAUUAUUAAAAAAGCCUAAUUGGAGAGGGGUUUGCAAUGUUAAUUUGACUUAAUUUAAAUACUAGGAUAGAGGGACAUGUUGGGCCCCGUCGCACUGAUUCCGUCUCCGUCCAGAGGUUCCACUCAGACAACCGAUAAACGCAGCGUUCAAGUUCCCGUCUUCUCCGUGAGAAGAGCAGGAAUAAUGGCACCAUUAACCAACCCGUUAACAAUGGAGAAAAUCACUGUUUACCCUUUUGGCAAAAGUAAGAGCUCCCUGUCUGAGGAAACUGAGACUUCCUGUGCACCCACAAUGCAUUGUGCUCCGGACCCAUCUCGUUUAUUUGGCCCCCGUGCAAUCACGUAAGUGUUCCACGGCUGCACAUUCGCAUCCAUUGUCUCCAUUGUCCUCCGCGCAUUAUCACAGACCAUAUAUACACGUAUAACUGGCAUCAUUUAUGACGGCCUGCUGCGAUUACCUUUUGUAAGCUGUAUUUUCUCUGUAUUUAAGCAACUUUCUUGUUCUCUACCUGGACGUUGUCCUCACUCUGUCAUAUCUGAUGGAUCUGUGGCUGUGUGGAAAGUUCUGCCCUACUUUUAGAAGAGGGGAGGUCCGGGGGUGAGGAGGAAAGGUUUGCCUCAGGCGUCUGCAGCUGUGAGAUGGUCUGUUACUGGGAGUGUUUCCCACCCCACUGGGACAAAAACAACUCUCUGGUCAGUCUCAAUCUCUGCCCCACCUGGACGGGAGGGAUCUGCUCCGACCCUCUUUCAUGCAGCACAUGUGUAUCCGAAAUGGCUCAUGCCCACAGUCUCUCCGUGCCCAAUUGGUUUCUUCCUUGUUUUUAUGUCUAGCAGACAGCAAUUAAUGUAUGUUGCUCUCCCGUGAGACUCGGGGAGGAUAUUUAUUGGAAGAUCGAUGCUUGUUUUCUUCACUAUUAUUCCAAUUUCACGGAGCAACUCAAACUGAUUCAGAAUGAACCUGUGUUCCUCGCACUUUAUUUUCUUGUGCUUUUCAACAACCUCUAUUCCGAAGGUCUGCUAAAGUUUUGCGUGGCCGUCGCCUUGACGCCAUUCAAUGUGUCUUCAUCGUAACACUGUAAUCAGUCAUCAACAAUCACUUUCCGAUCCCCACGUGCUUGUAAACACGUGAAAAGGACACACGUAACAAUGCAAAUACAAUGUUGUCCGUUUUUUCAAAGUGCUCCCAUGUGGAGGAUUUAAUAUGUGAAAGGGAAGGAUCAGCCAGCGGCAGCGUGGCGACACGUAAACGCUCCACUUGUGAACCCUCAGCGGGUGUUGAGACACGCUUUCACUCGACGACAACAGCACCCACCUGUAAUAUGUACGACAUGAAAUGACUGCUCUUUGCACACUCUCCAGCGCGUGUUCACUUUCUUCCUUUCACAUUUCUUGUUCAAUGUCGUAUUUCCUCCGCAAAGCAACAACCAGGGAGACAAGUUGCUCAGGGAUCUAUUAAUAAUGCAUCAUCACUCAGCAAACUGUGGGGAGGCUUAAUGUGCCGUGACCAUUUCUCUUUUUCUGAGAGCUUAUUUAAUUGUGAAAUAUUUAAGACGCAUAUCCUCCCAACAUAAGGUUGUGUCACUGAACUGACGUACAUCUAUUUUAAAGCGCGUCGCUGUGACGGGACUCUCUCUCUCUGCCGUCUGCUCCCAGCAUCUGCCGGCGUAUUUGAUGGCGCAUCAGAGGACACAGUAAACAUUGACAGGAACAUCUAUCUUCCCACCAACCUGUUUUUAUGGAUUCAUCCCAGUUUAGAUGCCAGCUGCCACACAUCCAGCCGAGCAGUGAUCAUUAGCAGCUGCGUCAGGUGAGGAUGCCACACAAGAAGCGUUCUGAUUGCCGUGUCCGUGCCGGGGAAAAUAGGGCCCAUUAGCCGAAGUGAACUCCCACUCUGAUUAUGAUGACAACGUAGCGAUAGAUUAGCAAUAUAAAUACUUGAAAGACAAUUAGCAGGAGCCUUUCCGACUGUUACGCCUUCAUGUCAACUGUGCAGUAAUUUAACAGGAUUCGUUCCUCACAGGCGCCGCCUACUUCGACUUCGUCCGAGCAGGUGCGCCGUUUCUUCUCAGGGUUAAAUUAUUUCUUCCUUGAUAAUAUCAAACUACAGGUAUCUGGUAUUUAUGGACACAUCAAAGUCAUUAACACUUAGAUAUGAACCACCAAGACACGGCCGCGUCCGUUAAAAGCAGAGCUUAUUAACGAGGAACGGAGGAACACGGCACACGGACUCAAUUAGAGACGGACAGGUACGUGGGAGUUAGAUUGUGUACCUGUGUGAGGAAAGUGUGGACUCUCCGUCGCAGAUACAAUGUCAAUGGAAGCCUUCAUGUCUGAAGAGAGUAGUCAGGUUAGAAUUUAAAAUGAUGCCGCUACACCUGCGUACCUACACAGGUAACUGUCAAACGAAGAUGUCAUUGAGCUUUUAUUUGUUCUUCGGUUUCUUACUUUGUGAUUCAGUCACAUGCAUACGUUCCUCUCUUUUUUUCCUUCUCUCAGCCUUCGAUCCAAAUAGCGACGUGAUGUAACUGCUCCCUGACUCCUCGUGGAAUAAGAAUGUCCUCCGUCAUUUUCAUGGACGGCGUGCACUCCUGACGAAUGUUGCUCUCUGGUCCCCAAAAAGAGGCGGCGAAGAAGCACGUGAAGAAUUUUUCAUCUGCGAACCAAAAAGAGACGGAUUAAAUGUUCCCACUCUCAGAGACUUAAAGUCAAACGGAGAACGCGCCCACAUGCGGGCGCGCGCCGUACGCGUCAGUUUGCACACGCGGGGCUUAAGCGCCCUAAUGGACCCGCCGCCGCCCGCGGGCUGCUUAGGGGUGCCCACACUGUACAGUGCGUGGGAACGCGUGUGUGUGUGUGUGCAUCACACAGUGCUAUAAACAAAGCAGCGUGUGUUCUGCCGAGGGGCACUGCGCUUCACAACGACAUCCCGACUGCGUUCGCUGUUUAUUGAGUCUGAGGUGAAUAUUCUAUUGAAUAAAGUGCGUCUGUGAUCUUCAGCAGGUAGUGAUGUCGCAGUAAACAAUACUUUCCCUCAAAGUUAUGCAGCGGCAUCGCAGAUCCAUUCCUCGCACACCUCCACCGACGCGAAUACACAGGAGCGCGCACACACACACACACACACACACACACACACUCUCAAAGCCAAAAAGAGGACGUGAGGGGGUUUCUGCCUCAGUUGAGUUUGGUCGAGGGGUCACCUGCCGCGUGUGGAAAACUGUAUAACUUUACAUUCUAAUAUUAUCUUCCACCCGGUAACUCCGCCGCUGCAUGUGCUUCUCCUCCAACGGACGUUGGUGUGUUUCGCUCCCGAGCGUCAGCAGAGCCCCGACCGAAAACGACCCGUCAAAGAAAAGCGCCGUCCCACUGACGUCCCCUCAUUGUCGUGUCUGAUUUUGUUUUAGUCGGGCUGCUGCGGUGUUUUAUGUGCGCGUUGUAAUGACAGUGUUUGUCCCCCGAUGUCUCCAAUGCCCGGGCGCGUGCGGUCAUUCUUCAGCUGUCACUUUGUGUUAAGUGCCACCGAAAUGCCACCGAAAUGCCCCCGAAACGCCCCCAAGCCCGUCGAUUCCUCCAUUUGUCCGCUGUGUUUGUCCAUUUCUAUUUGCUGCGUCUCUUCUUCUCGACGCUCACUGUUGUUAUAAAACAUUCAGUGAUUCUUCACCUCGUUUGGGUUUUUUAAAAGGUUUUUUUGAACUAGACUCUGUCUAAAAAAUACUGCUAUUUUAUUGCAUAAUCCUGCGUUAAGAACACAAACAGUUUCUCUGAGCGAACCAAGAAAAAUCACAGUUCUUAAAGAUGCUAAAGGGUUUUUGAUCCCGUAACCUUUGAGCUAAUGAGACGCCCUACUUGAGGACGUUGUUCCCAACGUAAUCCAGGCCAGACAACGCGCAGCGUACGUGCCGACCUCGACCCCUGAACCUCAAACCUCGACCUGAGGUUGAGGCUGACGCUGAUCUGCUCUGGGGAUCCAGACGGAGGGUCUCGAUCCGUAUCAGUCGGCCCUUCGGGGAUCCGUCGGGUGAACUGAAGCAACGUGAGAUCGCGGAGCCGAUAGCCACGACUUAUUUUCCACAGGCGGGUUCUACUGCACGUGGUUCAGGUUGUCACUCGUUCACUCGACACUGAAAACACUGUAGCUUUAGUUGGUUCCCAUUACGGCGAUGGACAAAAAACCUUGCCGGUUCCGAGAUGAUUGCGAGAGAACAAACAGGAGGACAGACGUGUUUACCGCUGUGUUAUCAGACGUGAGAGGAAGCCGCGUACAGUGAUGCCACUGUAUCGAUUUUAAUUAUCCCAUUACUGAGCCUGGAGGUCUUAUGAAAACAGAUAAGCUAAAGACCACCAACUAAUUACAAACAGAGUGGCAUUUAUUUAGCCGUUGAUUAAAGUUGCUUCGAUUUAUGUUAAAUAACUGUGAUUCAAAUGCAAAACGUAUCGGCUCUGACGGGACGAGCGAGAGGAGGAGAGAGAGGUCCUUUCUGUAAUGCAUAUAACACACACAUAGAAGCUGCUCACUAUUUAUUUGCAGCUGUAAACACUAUUUAUAUGAAACAUAUUUAAUGCUCCAUAUAUGUAAUUAGAUAUAAUGCAUAAUUGCUUUUGAAUCCCUUUUGUAAGCAUCAUCAUGUUUAGAAAGUUGUUGAACUUAAUAUUUACUAAGAGCUUCCAAUAAAUUUAUCCAAGGACUCCAAACCACAACAUUAAAAUAGUUUGACAAUUGAUCCAGUGCUGUAAAAAGAUGAACUUCUGAAUGCAUUAAAGCUUUUGGGGUCAUAGGGUUUUUUUUUUAAAGUGUUUUCCUACUUUGACCUCCUGUCCAGAAGUGUUCGCACUGAAAAGAGCAUUUUGCAGCGCUGAAUAUCACUCAGGAAGGUCGUGUGUCAUUGUAAAUGUCUCAAGCAGCACGGCCGUGGGCAUUGACUCGUUCUCGCUCUCCUCCCGUCCAGAGAUUCUCACUGCAAGUCUUCUUUCACGCACAAACGGCAUUUUUCAGACUCGGCCGGCUCAGGAACAGAGGCGGGAGAAUGCAGAAGAAGGGAAGAAAGGGGGGAGUGAGCCGGGGGAGAGAAACGGGGAGUAGCAGAGUGGAGAGGUGAGGCCCGGAGGCUUGAGCGCCGCCACAAACAGUGGUGACCUGGAAAGCUUCUGUGUGGUGGAAAUCAGCUUUGAGAAACCCUUUUAGAGGCCUCUUCAGGGGAUUAAGACUGUUUGGGGUCUCUGCCUCCCUCUCUGUGUGUGUGUGUGUGUGUGUGUGUGUGUGUGUGUGUGUGUGUGUCUUUAGUACGUGUUGAGAUGUCUAUUGUAAACCAAUGAAGAAAGCAUCCGCUGGAUUUCUGUGCUGUUGGUCUGUGUGUGUGUGUGUGUGUGUGUGUGUGUGUGUGUGUGUGUGUGUGAGAGAGACAGGAAAAGGCUGAUUGGCACUUUAGUAUCACAGUGAGGCAGAAGAAGGUUUGAGGAAGGGAGGUUGAUUUAAACCUCACGGGGCCUCGGCCUCUUUGGAGCACAGACUUACGUAAAGCGCAGCGAGGGACGCCACACUGAACGUGAAUAAAAACCAGCCGGGAAUCUAUUUCCUUUCAGUCCUCCGUGCUGAACCAUCGGAGCUCUCACAGCUUUUAUUGGCAAUCUACCAGCGUGGAACUUUGAAUAGAACGCGGCAUUAGAAAGACAGCAAAAACAUUAUAUUUUGGCUGUGAGAAAUGUUAAUUUAACGGAUAAAUAACUCUCGUUUAUUGUAACUUGGAACUUAUUUUUGUAGUUUUUGACAGCAUUUCUUUCCGUUUUUUGAUUAAAUUGUAACCACCACAGUAAUUAUAUAUAUACAUAUAUGUUUGUGUGUGUAUGUGUAUUACUAUGUUAAACAAGGCAGGAGACAGGAGCAGCACGGAGCAUAAAUAUAAGUGAUCGGGAAGAGAAAGCAGUGAGAAGCAUAAUCACCUCCACGGUUCACUUUCCGGUUCAACUUCAAAUGAGUUUUCUUGUUUAGAAACAAAUAAAAAUAGCACAGCGACUAACUUCAACGGGUCCGAUGUUACCGAAUCCGAACGCGUCGAAGGCCGAGCUUCGCGAGCGAGAUCCGAGUGGCAACAAAGCGGUGAAGGACGCGAGGAGACAAAGAGUUGAAAGGUGCUUUUGUGCCUCCUUCUCUAAUCGGCGGGACGGCGACGGGGGGGAACGGACGCGACCCGACCCGACCCCCGGUGACGAGCUAAUCGCCGCCGCCGCCACAUCAAACGUGCGUCGCGCGAGCUGCCGCGCGGCCGCCGCCGCCGCCGGCGCCGUUUCCACAAACUCGGGAUGCCGGAUUACUUUUGACAGAAAACAUACAAAUAAAACAUUACCGGGGCUUACCGAGAGAGCGCGCGCAGAUACCCGCCGAGUAAAUUAUUCAUCCGUUGACUCGCUGAUGGAAUGAAAGCCUCUGUCUUCCCUCUAAUCCCCGGCAAAGCUUUCGGUAAUAGUGCAGCGCUCGAGAGUUGCCUCGCACGAGGCUCCAUUCAUCAACUUUCCCGCUGUAUGAAGUGCGGCUCCCGCGUUAACGCGGCGUUUAGCCUCAAACGGGCCCUCGCUCUAAUGACUUGGCUGCGAUGGUGAUUGCUUUGAUUUUAAUUGGGAUGUUCUAAUCCAGCUGUCUCCCACCGGUUAGACAAGGGCUGCUCGCGGUGAGUCUUUCUGCGGCGCUCCGGAGCCCGACGCGGGGCCGUGCGGUGGCCCCGUGGAGCUCAGCGAGGGGGGGGGGGGGGAUGAUGAGAGAUGAAAAAUAGAAGCCAUCGAUGUAGGAAGAGUCACAAAUAGGAGAGCGUCCUUGGUCCCCCGGGGGACGGGUUACGCCACAGUAAAGCACCAUUUAGUUUGUCCAUCCUUGAAAGACUAAGCCAGGAGGUCCCAGGGGACCAAUAGAGAGCGGGAGGGGCUCACCUGGUGCACACGUCCCUGCAGGGAACCGGAGGAUCACACCAGCGCUGGGCUGUUGUUUCUUAAGUGCAGCUGAGCCUGAAUGGAUUCCAAAUCAAAAAAAGCCUCCAAAUGCUCCUCUUGACAGUUUUACUCCCAAUUAUUUGCUCGUCUUUGAAUGUGGAGGGCUUCAUUUCCAUGUUCUACUUUUUGCACAAAACAUGUUGUUUUCUCACGCGCCGCUCCGACUGUCCUUCGCUGGGGGGGGUUGUGUGAGGUCGCAGCACAGAACGCCUUUAAAGGCUUCCUGGGGAAAUGGUACACGCUCACGUAUGAGUAAGUAUUAAACUUCUGGAGGACUAUAACAAAUGAAAGCACACGCUAAAGAGUGAAUUUCAUCUGCAUACACCAGCAAAGUGUGGGAGGAAAUGGCAAAAUGAAAUGGAGAAAUGACUUGUUUAUACCGACCAUGUUCAUUUAAAAUGAGCACAGCCGUAGAGGGCGGUGAGAUCCACACAAGUCAUCUCAAACCUACAGGCCGAGUGUCAUUGAGCGGCUCCAUCGGGCUCCCCCCUGUUGGCGGGAACUCCUCGUUUGGUUAUUUUGGAUCUUUUUGUGCAAACGCUUACGAACUUUUAGGGAUUCGCUCAGAAAAACUGAAACAUUUUAAGAGAAGAUAACGAGUUUUGUUCAAGCAAAACCCAGGGAAUAAUCUGUUUCAUCACCUCGGAUCUCCAAAGCAAACGUUCGGCCCCAAGAGCUCAGGCACGAACAACAAGAAUGGGUGCCGAUGUCCGUGCUGGUACCAAACAGAGGGUGGUAGAAAGCACAGGGAGUCACAUCACCUGCAUCUCAUCGGUCAUCCCGACCCCCUCUGAAGGACGUGUCCCGAAUAAAUGAUGCCCAACAAAGAAAGUCAGCUGUCGCUACGAGUGAGCUGCAGUCUCUUAUUCCCCUUUGCCUAAACGGUCAUAACUCAAAAUGUGAUGUUGGGAAUAGAAUUGUAUAUUAUGGGGCGGCAGAGCUGUGGAUUAGGUAACUGAUGUCUGUGAAGAGGGCGAAAUGAAAGUACUUUCGGCCACGUUUAUGUUGUUGUUGUUAUCAGUGAAAUGAGCUCCAGCUGCAGGUGACCCGCGAGUCCUUCUGGGCUCCGUGUGAUUCACCGGACCGGAGGGGGCGGAUGGGUGGGAGCAGUGACGGACACAUGAACCAUGGCGCUCUCGGUCACUGCUCGAAUGGCCUCCGUUGCGUGGGACAGAGAAGUGAUGACUUUGUAUUUUCCCUUUGGACACAGGACUUGACUAAUUGUGAACAGGAUCCCCACAGGGGGGGAGGGGUGGGCAGGUAUUCAUUAUCCCACGAGAACAGGACAUUCAUUACAAAGACCUGGAAGUUGGUGAUGAAUCGAUGUUGGAAUUAUAUUUUUUAAGGCGCCAUCAGUCAUUGUGUCACACUCCCCACAAUGACAUCACCGUUGUUCCACAUCCCCCUGCUGGGAUCAACCACCCUCAAUGACUAUGGACUGUACACGGCAUGAGUGGCCGGACGGAUACGUGGACGGAUGAGGGGUUAUGGGUGAGCGAGAGGAGCAAAGGCAAAGAAGAAAUAUUCCCCAGCAUGCUUCUUUCGAGCCUUUACUCAGAGGAUACCGGCGGCUAUCAACUCACUCACACACACACACACUGAAAACACACCUCUCUUUUUGAAGAUAUGUUCCCACAUGCACUUGUAUGGAAUCACUCCUGAUUUGCGAUCCCCCUCCUCCCUCCCUUUUUCAUAUCACCUUUUGUGUGCUCGGCUUUGUGAAUAUUUCUCCUCUGAACCUCUCAGUAAGUUUUGACAGGGUGCUUUUCUGUCUGAACUGAUUCCAAAAGAGGAGAAUGUAAAAGCGCCGCAUCCAUUAUUGAACAACGUCACAACCUGGGAUGCCUCCGCCCAGACACCCACGCUCCACGGGCCUCUUCCGGUCCCCCCGGUGAGCAGUCGCACACGACUCGUGCAAAAUAUUGCGUUUAACGUCUCCUCCUUAAAUAAUGAAAUGGGAGGAAUUCGCUCCCCGUGAGCUCUGCCUGAGGUCGUACGCCAUUUUUACAAGAGGGUUCGGGCAGGUCAUGAAAAAUGCUAUUUGAUAGCAGCUUUUAUUUCUGCAGCCUCUGCAUCAGCCCGGUAAAGUUUACCAUAAGGGAUGGUUUAAUGAUAACUGACAAGGACACACAGGGCUGCGAGGAAGGUGCGGUAUUCUAAUUAUUUUAGCGUGCCUUGUGUUCCGGCGUCUUGUGGGCCCCGCGGUGAUCAAAGCGGUCAGGAGCCUAUCAGGAGGCUCGGGGAAGAAGACGCAUUCGCCUUUUGUCGGUGGAGAAAUAGUCUGUGACAGCAACAUUGUGUCUGCACGCCACUUCCAUUGCUGCGUCUCCUCCUUUAGAAGAUUAAUUGAAAAUAAAAUCACCACAAUGCUUUCAAGGUUAAUAUAACACAUGUUCAAUUAAGUGCGGGGGAAAUCCGCAGCCGCACUGUGUUUUUUAGAGCGCUCCGCUGGCAGGAGCCUUACUGUUCUCCAUGCGUCCUAAUGAUAAGCUCGCCGUCUCUCUCCCCCAGUUAUUUGUAAUUAAGUUUCUUUGCAGCAUUUAGCUGGAAAGAUGUCAAAGAGGAGAACAGCGGCGAGGAGGAGUGGGGGGAUGGAGUGAGCUGGGGGCUCAAGCUGCCCUAUUCCUGCGUAAAUGUAGAGGGUGAACAGGCUUAGUGAAUUUCAAAGUCACCCAGGCGGCUUAAUAGCUUCCCUAAAUGACUCAGCACAUUAUUUCCAGGGCGUACAGUAGUCCAUUACACGGUGCGUUACCACGCCCGUACCGGGGCCCGGACUCCCUCCUGGCGCGGGCCCCUGGCGUGUGUUCAGCAAACCACUUGAGCCUGAAUGCAAAAUGAAGUCCCUUGGCUACAACUUUCAGGACAGUUGAGUCUCUUCAGUGCUCACCGACGGCGCCCGGAGGCCGCCGGUGACACCAGUAAGCCCCGUCCCCACCUCCAGCUCCGGUGGCAAAGUUGAUUGCAGAAAGCGUAUUGCGGUGGCCACGGGCGCGGAUGUGGAUGGAAUGAGACAGAAAGAGGGAGAUAAAUAGAGAGGGAGGGGAGGGAGCAAGAGAGAGCAAUUAGUGGUGCUCUACAGCAUAAUCCCUUGGAGACAAGGCCCAUCAAUCAUGCUACUAAUCCUUUGUUUCUCAAUAAAGAUAACCAUGCUGCAGGGAGUUAACAUUUUCUUAAUAAGUCAUCCUACCGUAGUACACCUGAAAUGCCAGAUUGGCCCAGAAUUAUCUGUAUCCUCAAUGUAUGACAUUGAGUUGAUAAGACCUAUUGAACCGGUGUGCUGUUUUGAUUAUGGACGAGCUGGCGAACACAGCGCGUAGAUAAUGAAGGACGUGCCUGGACAAAGUCCUCCGACCUGAAAGACAAAGCUGUUUUUGAGAGGCUCUGCUGGUCGGCAGGACUGCAUGCCUUCCAAAGCUGUUUGAAAUGACUGAUUGAUGAUAAUAACCAGCAAACAGAUCGUUUUUUCCCAUAUUUCCAUUGUUACUUUACGCCAUCCUAAAUAUAACUACAGGGUUUGUCCACUAACGCUCACAGAAUGCUCACAGGAGACGUCGAUUAGAAAGGGACAUGUGUUGCGUGAUUGUGUAAGUUAAUGUGAAAGAACACAACUCGUGUAGGAUACCAUCUGCCUCCUCUGCUUUUCGUCCGCCCCGUAAAAGCUUUGAAGAGACGUCUCCAUGUGUCCUUAGAACGUGUGACGAGACGUUGACUGUUGCACCUUCACUUUCAUGGCGGCUGUCUUGUAAAAGUCCGCUGAGAGAACUUUUCCUAGAUAAGCCAUCGAGACGCGACGCGAACCUUCCUUGAAAGAAGCUAAAACAUCAUUAACUGCAUUCAAACGUCUAAUUAAAUAAGUUUAGGUUAGAUUGAAGAUCUAAUUGCGAGUCGUACCUUUGAGGCACUUGCUCCGGUAUUAUGCCACAGAAAAAGAGUUAGCUGGAAUAUUCAUUAUGGCAGCCCAAAGGCACUGCUUCCAGAAUGAACCAUCCUUCUAAGGAGCAUAAAGGGAACGCCGGGAGGCAAAUAACACAUCUCGUGGUCCCUCGACUUCCUGCUAAUCGUGCAUGUUUUUUGUUGGAACAACGUUUCCUUGAGAAGUCCAUGAAGGCGACCGUUGUAAAUCAAGUCGGCUCCAAAUCGAAUGAAUUCACCGGUGACCUUGAAGGCCUCGCUUUGUCCCAUUCACGGCGCUUUCCUCGUGCACGGGCCAGACCAAUCCAUCACCAUCUCUUGUUCACCUUUGUCGCGCAGACGACACGUUGCACCUUGUUUUUCUGCCUCUCAUUUCUUUUUUUCCCUCGUCUUUCUAUCGUCGUCCGCGCUCUGUAUCCUCCUGCCGGAGACGUCUGCCGCGAAUACGUUGGUGUGUGCCGUCAUCGAUCGCUUCAAGGUCAAGAGUGCUUAAGCUGGAUAUUAAAGAGACGGACGGCUGCACGGGGGGCCGAGCGAGAUGGCAACACAAUGCAAUCAUAACCCGAUGCCCACUGUCCACCCCGCGCGCGAGCGCACACAACCUCGCGCGGCGCGACGGGAGAGCGCCGAAACACCGGCGGAAGAGGGUGAGAAAUGGAUUGACGAGAGAUCGCGUCUCGGAGACGAUCUAAUAUCAGCAUGAGCGCGCGAGUCCACGGCGGUUAGGGCGCGGGCCAACAAACAAACAAACAAGCGCGCCUGCGCGGGGCCCGCGCGCACUCUGGGCGCGGAGAUUGUCUGAUAGGAAUCGUAAUGGCUCAUUAAAGCACCAAAGUGAUCCUGUGGACGGGUCCGGGAGGAGGAAAACCGAGUGAAUGAUUGAUACGGUGAUACAGAGCGUGCUCCCUCCACCAGCCCAUUAGGCGUGAUUUAGAGGGAAUGUGGAGUGCAGCCGGAAUAGAAAAGGAGGCUACUGCCUUUACAUGUUUGAUUCCAACCUACUCGGUGACUGAUUGAGAGCGCACAAGAAGACGAGUGUGUUUUGCAGCAUCACAAGAUCCCAUCGCUGUUCAUAAUGGAAUCUGGGAGAGCCUGAUUGCACAGGUAACUGCCGCCACAUAAUAGGUGGCGCAAUUUGCUGAUGCGCCCCUCUCCGUACGCCCGCCUAAUUGUAUUUUUAGGCUUUCCUUUGAGUUACGAGCGGCGCGGGGUCGCGACGAGGCCGCCUGUCGGUUGUUGGUGGAGAACCAGGCUGGAGUGAAAUAGUAUAAUGGCGCGGAAGAAAGAACAGUGCAAAGCAGCCCGUGAUCAAGGGCUGCUGUAAUUUCCCCAGAUUGGAUGUUAUUCACUGAUGGCCGUGCACGGCGCGGUUUGGUGUGGUUUGGUUUGGUUCGAUUACUUCCACACGUUUCACAGUUACACACCAUCAACUUAGUUUCCUUCACUACAUCCUUCUUUAAAAAGCAGGAACAGUAAAUCAUCUCACAGCACUAAUACACCUGUGGAGAGUUGACAACGUCGCUGGUCGGCGCUGAUGAGUGAAGGAUUCCUCUGCCAGGUGCGACGCCUCCUCACCGUCUGGCACCGGAAGAAGCUCGCGGUCCGCUCGCCCUAUCUACUCGGGUUUCAACUGUUCAGCAGCAGAUAUUACGCCGCUGCUUCCACAGCAGCACCCAAAGUCCCCGGUGUGGAUUGCCAAAAAUGCAAAUGCAGGUGUCUUAUAACUGUGUGGGAGAGAAGCGACUGAGGUGGAGCCACUGGCUCAUUAGAGCAGGUGACGUCCGGCGAUACAUUCUUGAUGGCGAGUGCUCACACUCUACAGGGAGAUUUAUAACGAUGGAGGAUAGUUUCAGACGCGGCGGGGGGGGAUUAGCUUAGAGACUUGGGCCGAAGGGAAGGUGGAACAAAAAGAUUGUUCCUAAUUGUG